GCAGCAGCAGCCAGCACAGUGUCUUUGGCACAGCCCAGGCAGACAGGUGGAGGAGAACUGAAUCCUGCUUCUUGACAGCCCAUUCUAUCAGCCUUCAUCUCCAACUUGUUAAAUUUCCAACAAGUUGCUUCGUGCUCUCCUUUAUCCACUGCCCCCAAGCAUGGGAGGAGUUACUGCAAGUAGCCACAGAGCCACCUUCUGUUCUCCUGCAGCUUCCUCCUGCAAAACCCAACCACCAGUCCAGGAACACAAAUAUCAGCCAGAAGUGGUAUGUGAUUGCUUCCAUCUGAUUUGGAGAGGAAUUGCUUUUCCAAUAGUGGAUGAUUUGAUCCAGAACUGGAGAACCAACCUGGCAGUCAGCAGCUUCAUGAGACCAAAUCUGACCCAGGGCCUCAGAGCUCUGCCAGCUGCAGGCAGGUGAUCACAGAAGCUAGAACAGAGCAAAACAAAAUUAAAAAAAAUCCAUGAACUAAGUGUAGAAUCCAUCUGAAUUCAGCAAGAUGGGCUGUAACAGGAGAAGUUUUAUUUAUUCCUUGACCUGAACUCAGCUCACACCCAUCAAAGUGACAAAAGGUGAUAAAUAUCCUUUGGGGUUCCAGGUAAUUUCUUCCCUUCUGCUUUACCUGGCAGGGAAUGUUUUUGGAAGAUUAAUGAAAUACCCAGAAUUUUGUGCAUGUAUAUGUGUGUGCGUAUGUGUGUAUAGCUAUUUAUUUACUUACUUAUAUCUAUAAACCAGCAUUUUUCAUGCAAACUGAGAAUUCAUCGACAUGGUAUUGUUCUUGUUGCAACCCAGGGAAUUAAAGGAUGCCGACAAUUAAUGGAAUCACAGAAGUACAAGAUGGUUUGGGUUGGAAGGCACCUUAAAGCUCAUCUUGUUCCACCCCGUGCCCUGGGCAAGAACACCUUCCACCAGACCAGGUGGCUCCAAGCCAUGGAACAUACGCAGAGCUGGGGCAGACACACAUGGGGGCACAAACACAGCUUCUGGUUUUUAUUUCACAGUUCUGAGUUGUGGGUCUGUUUAGGAGGAAAUAACCCCCCACACACACAGUAAGUGCAGGGUUUUCCAGGCCCCCUCCAAACAUCCCCUGCAGGCUCCCCCUGAUCAUCCCUGCCAGGCCAGCAGCCCACCCCCACUGCUGUAUUCAGUGGUACCAGGACACCUCCAGCUCUGUAUCUGUGUCCUCCUGUUCUCAGGGAAACCCAUGAGGAUCAGUUUGCUUUUGUAUCAAAUUUACUUCUUUGCUGGUACCAUUUUCUCUGCUUACUCAUAAACACACCGAGCACCACAAACACUUUGGAAACUCAAAUGACUCCUUACUGUGAAAACUGGGAGCAGAGCCUAACCCCCAUCUGGGUGCACCCUCCUGUCAAUGAGAGCAAUGGGAGAGUUCUUCCAAAUCAGCCCAGCUGAGCACAGGUGUUUCCUGAUGUCCCUCCAAACCUGCAAGAUUAAUUUUCUGCCCAUUUAGUCCUUGUGCUGGCAGUGGAGAUGUCCUGGUCACAGUUUUUAGAUGUCUUCUCUAGACUGAGGAAUCAGAGUUCAGGCAUAAACCACCUUCUUUUGGGACAUGAGGAAUAAAACUUCCAUAUCCGCAGCCCA
ensembl:lncRNA